rnacentral:rRNA from 1 species
GACGAACGCUGGCGGCGUGCUUAACACAUGCAAGUCGAACGCUGAAGCACCAGCUUGCUGGUGUGGAUGAGUGGCGAACGGGUGAGUAAUACGUGAGUAACCUGCCCUUGACUCUGGGAUAAGCCCGGGUAACUGGGUCUAAUACUGGAUGCUACAUGUCACCGCAUGGUGGUGUGUGGAAAGGGUUUACUGGUCUUGGAUGGGCUCACGGACUAUCAGCUUGUUGGUGAGGUAAUGGCUCACCAAGGCGACGACGGGUAGCCGGCCUGGGAGGGUGGCCGGCCACACUGGAACUGAGACACGGGCCAGACUACUACGGGAGGCAGCAGUGGGGAAUAUUGCACAAUGGGCGAAGGCCUGAGGCAGGGGCGCCGCGUGAGGGAUGACGGCCUUCGGGUUGUAAACCUCUUUCAGCAGGGAAGAAGCCACAAGUGACGGUACCUGCAGAAGAAGCGCCGGCUAACUACGUGCCAGCCGCCGCCGUAA